CAGUCGCCACGGGAAUACGUAGGGUGCAAGCGUUAAUCGGAAUUACUGGGCGUAAAGCGUGCGCAGGCGGUUUUGUAAGACAGAGGUGAAAUCCCCGGGCUCAACCUGGGAACUGCCUUUGUGACUGCAAGGCUAGAGUACGGCAGAGGGGGAUGGAAUUCCGCGUGUAGCAGUGAAAUGCGUAGAUAUGCGGAGGAACACCGAUGGCGAAGGCAAUCCCCUGGGCCUGUACUGACGCUCAUGCACGAAAGCGUGGGGAGCAAACAGGAUUAGAUACCCGGGUAGUCCCUGUCUCUUAUAC
rnacentral:rRNA from 1 species